rnacentral:rRNA from 1 species
UACGUAGGGGGCAAGCGUUGUCCGGAAUCAUUGGGCGUAAAGAGCGUGUAGGCGGCCAGGUAGGUCAGCUGUGAAAACUCGAGGCUCAACCUCGAGCUGUCGGCUGAAACCAUCUGGCUAGAGUCCGGAAGAGGAGAAUGGAAUUCCCGGUGUAGCGGUGAAAUGCGCAGAUAUCGGGAAGAACACCCGUGGCGAAGGCGGUUCUCUGGGACGGUACUGACGCUGAGACGCGAAAGCGUGGGGAGCGAACAGG